GGGUUGUGAGGUUAAGCGACUAAGCGUACACGGUGGAUGCCCUGGCAGUCAGAGGCGAUGAAGGACGUGCUAAUCUGCGAUAAGCGUCGGUGAGGUGAUAUGAACCGUUAUAACCGGCGAUUUCCGAAUGGGGAAACCCAGUGUGUUUCGACACACUAUCAUUAACUGAAUCCAUAGGUUAAUGAGGCGAACCGGGGGAACUGAAACAUCUAAGUACCCCGAGGAAAAGAAAUCAACCGAGAUUCCCCCAGUAGCGGCGAGCGAACGGGGAGGAGCCCAGAGCCUGAAUCAGUGUGUGUGUUAGUGGAAGCGUCUGGAAAGGCGCGCGAUACAGGGUGACAGCCCCGUACACAAAAAUGCACAUAUUGUGAGCUCGAUGAGUAGGGCGGGACACGUGGUAUCCUGUCUGAAUAUGGGGGGACCAUCCUCCAAGGCUAAAUACUCCUGACUGACCGAUAGUGAACCAGUACCGUGAGGGAAAGGCGAAAAGAACCCCGGCGAGGGGAGUGAAAAAGAACCUGAAACCGUGUACGUACAAGCAGUGGGAGCCACUUAAUGGGGUGACUGCGUACCUUUUGUAUAAUGGGUCAGCGACUUAUAUUCUGUAGCAAGGUUAACCGAAUAGGGGAGCCGAAGGGAAACCGAGUCUUAACUGGGCGUUAAGUUGCAGGGUAUAGACCCGAAACCCGGUGAUCUAGCCAUGGGCAGGUUGAAGGUUGGGUAACACUAACUGGAGGACCGAACCGACUAAUGUUGAAAAAUUAGCGGAUGACUUGUGGCUGGGGGUGAAAGGCCAAUCAAACCGGGAGAUAGCUGGUUCUCCCCGAAAGCUAUUUAGGUAGCGCCUCGUGAAUUCAUCUCCGGGGGUAGAGCACUGUUUCGGCAAGGGGGUCAUCCCGACUUACCAACCCGAUGCAAACUGCGAAUACCGGAGAAUGUUAUCACGGGAGACACACGGCGGGUGCUAACGUCCGUCGUGAAGAGGGAAACAACCCAGACCGCCAGCUAAGGUCCCAAAGUCAUGGUUAAGUGGGAAACGAUGUGGGAAGGCCCAGACAGCCAGGAUGUUGGCUUAGAAGCAGCCAUCAUUUAAAGAAAGCGUAAUAGCUCACUGGUCGAGUCGGCCUGCGCGGAAGAUGUAACGGGGCUAAACCAUGCACCGAAGCUGCGGCAGCGACACUAUGUGUUGUUGGGUAGGGGAGCGUUCUGUAAGCCUGUGAAGGUGGCCUGUGAGGGUUGCUGGAGGUAUCAGAAGUGCGAAUGCUGACAUAAGUAACGAUAAAGCGGGUGAAAAGCCCGCUCGCCGGAAGACCAAGGGUUCCUGUCCAACGUUAAUCGGGGCAGGGUGAGUCGACCCCUAAGGCGAGGCCGAAAGGCGUAGUCGAUGGGAAACAGGUUAAUAUUCCUGUACUUGGUGUUACUGCGAAGGGGGGACGGAGAAGGCUAUGUUGGCCGGGCGACGGUUGUCCCGGUUUAAGCGUGUAGGCUGGUUUUCCAGGCAAAUCCGGAAAACCAAGGCUGAGGCGUGAUGACGAGGCACUACGGUGCUGAAGCGACAAAUGCCCUGCUUCCAGGAAAAGCCUCUAAGCAUCAGGUAACAUCAAAUCGUACCCCAAACCGACACAGGUGGUCAGGUAGAGAAUACCAAGGCGCUUGAGAGAACUCGGGUGAAGGAACUAGGCAAAAUGGUGCCGUAACUUCGGGAGAAGGCACGCUGAUAUGUAGGUGAAGCGACUUGCUCGUGGAGCUGAAAUCAGUCGAAGAUACCAGCUGGCUGCAACUGUUUAUUAAAAACACAGCACUGUGCAAACACGAAAGUGGACGUAUACGGUGUGACGCCUGCCCGGUGCCGGAAGGUUAAUUGAUGGGGUUAGCGGCAACGCGAAGCUCUUGAUCGAAGCCCCGGUAAACGGCGGCCGUAACUAUAACGGUCCUAAGGUAGCGAAAUUCCUUGUCGGGUAAGUUCCGACCUGCACGAAUGGCGUAAUGAUGGCCAGGCUGUCUCCACCCGAGACUCAGUGAAAUUGAACUCGCUGUGAAGAUGCAGUGUACCCGCGGCAAGACGGAAAGACCCCGUGAACCUUUACUAUAGCUUGACACUGAACAUUGAGCCUUGAUGUGUAGGAUAGGUGGGAGGCUUUGAAGUGUGGACGCCAGUCUGCAUGGAGCCGACCUUGAAAUACCACCCUUUAAUGUUUGAUGUUCUAACGUUGGCCCGUAAUCCGGGUUGCGGACAGUGUCUGGUGGGUAGUUUGACUGGGGCGGUCUCCUCCUAAAGAGUAACGGAGGAGCACGAAGGUUGGCUAAUCCUGGUCGGACAUCAGGAGGUUAGUGCAAUGGCAUAAGCCAGCUUGACUGCGAGCGUGACGGCGCGAGCAGGUGCGAAAGCAGGUCAUAGUGAUCCGGUGGUUCUGAAUGGAAGGGCCAUCGCUCAACGGAUAAAAGGUACUCCGGGGAUAACAGGCUGAUACCGCCCAAGAGUUCAUAUCGACGGCGGUGUUUGGCACCUCGAUGUCGGCUCAUCACAUCCUGGGGCUGAAGUAGGUCCCAAGGGUAUGGCUGUUCGCCAUUUAAAGUGGUACGCGAGCUGGGUUUAGAACGUCGUGAGACAGUUCGGUCCCUAUCUGCCGUGGGCGCUGGAGAACUGAGGGGGGCUGCUCCUAGUACGAGAGGACCGGAGUGGACGCAUCACUGGUGUUCGGGUUGUCAUGCCAAUGGCACUGCCCGGUAGCUAAAUGCGGAAGAGAUAAGUGCUGAAAGCAUCUAAGCACGAAACUUGCCCCGAGAUGAGUUCUCCCUGAGACUUAGAGUCUCCUGAAGGAACGUUGAAGACGACGACGUUGAUAGGCCGGGUGUGUAAGCGCAGCGAUGCGUUGAGCUAACCGGUACUAAUGAACCGUGAGGCUUAACCUUACAACGCCGAAG
rnacentral:rRNA from 1 species